rnacentral:tRNA from 1 species
GCAUUGUGGCUCACUGGUAGAGUGCUCGCCUAGCAUGCAUGAGGCACUGGGUUCGAUCCUCAGCAGCA